GGCCUGGCCGGCCGGUCCGCCUCACCGCGUGCACUGGUCCGGCUGGGUCUUUCCCCUGGGGAGCCGCAUGUCCUUCACUGGUCGUGUCGGGGAGCCAGGACUUUUACUUUGAAAAAAUCAGAGUGUUCAAAGCAGGCCUAUGCUCGAAUACAUUAGCAUGGAAUAAUAAAAUAGGACGUGCGGUUCUAUUUUGUUGGUUUCUAGAGUCGCCGUA
rnacentral:rRNA from 1 species